CUGUCAGUAGUCGUAAGAGAAAAGAGUAGCGACGAAGCUUCAAGAAGCGAGAACCUUUAGGGGGAUCUCUAUCCUUCUUUUUAUACUCUCUAUUUAUAUUAUCUUGUAGUAAAUUUAGCUAUGGUGGAGAUAGAAGUUCAGUAUUCGAUUGAAUCACUUGAAUUUACAACAUUGUCAAUCACUCGAGAAUAUUAUCGGUACGCAAGCAUGUGGUUUACGCGUUGAGUUCAGCAAACACGCAUUAUACUCUUAUAGAAAGAGAAAGAGAUUCCUUCACGGUCCCUCUUCGUCGGCGAACAUCCCCCUCCCCCUCCAUUCGUUCACACUCCAGAUGUAUAAACUAUAAACUGCCAUAAUCAAUAAUCAUAGGCUGUUAUUCAGAGUCGUUGCGUUAUUCUCAAGAUUGUCUUAAGCAUUUGCUUAAGUCGUCGAGUUACAUAUUCCGGUAAAUAAGCAAAUGCUUAAGGCAUCGCUUCAAGCAUUUGCUUGGCUAAAUAAGUAAUUGCUCAGUCUGGAGGUCUGUGCGCACGCUCAGUUCAGUCGAAUAAGCAAGUGCUCGAAUAAGAAAUUCUUAUUCGGCCGAAAGAGGUAUUUAUUGCUUGAAAAGUGAGGUUGGAUUUUCAAGUCGACGUUUACUCGACUUAAGACAAGCCCACACGUACAGGUCACGUACAGGACGUAAGCAUUAGUGUUCGUGAGCCGUCAAAGCGUUUCAGAGGUUAGUUGUACGGAAAAAAUGGUUCUCGCGUCGAACAAAAUACAAAUUGAUAUCGAAGAGGAUAUGGAAGAUAUCGAAAAUGUUAAAAAUAUCGACGACGUUGAAGAGAGCAUCAUGGACUUAAUUAAUAAUUCGAACCUAAGGAGGAACCUAUUCACGAUUGGCAAAAUUCAUUCGAAUAUUACGAUGAAUUCAAAUUUAGAGGACGGCCCAAAUUUAAUAAAUGAGAUAUAUGAUUGAAGGAUAUAGGAAUCCAGGGAUGGAACUUGUGGGGGUAGCCAUUUCCGCAGUAAAGGAUUUAUCUAAACACGAGUCAGUGAAUAGUUUUGUGAACUAUUGUGAACCAACCAGAAAAAGUGUUAGAGCCGAAGAGAGGUGAUUCUUCGCCAAUAUGCACACUUUUCGGGGCAAUGGCUCGUUCAGUGAGACUACUCCGGUGGAGCGGACUGCCGUAGCGAAAGGGUUAAACACACACUCCAUCACGGAGCAGUUCUUCUUGAAUAAAUAAUAGUUUUAGCAGA